rnacentral:rRNA from 1 species
AUACAGAGGGUGCAAGCGUUAAUCGGAAUUACUGGGCGUAAAGCGCGCGUAGGUGGUUCAGUAAGAUGGAAGUGAAAUCCCCGGGCUUAACCUGGGAACUGCUUUCAUAACUGCUGAGCUAGAGUACGGUAGAGGGUAGUGGAAUUUCCUGUGUAGCGGUGAAAUGCGUAGAUAUAGGAAGGAACACCAGUGGCGAAGGCGACUGCCGGGACGAAUACUGACACUGAGGUGCAAAAGCGUGGGGGGCAAACAGGAUUAGAUACCCUGGUAGUCCACGUCGUAAACGAUGUCAACUAGCCGUUGGGAACCUUGAGUUCUUAGUGGCGCAGCUAACGCACUAAGUUGACCGCCUGGGGAGUACGGUCGCAAGAUUAAAACUCAAAUGAAUUGACGGGG